rnacentral:rRNA from 1 species
UGGAGGAAAGCAGGGGAUCGCAAGACCUUGCGCUAAAGGAGCGGCCGAUGUCUGAUUAGCUAGUUGGUGGGGUAAAGGCUUACCAAGGCAACGAUCAGUAGUUGGUCUGAGAGGACAGCCAACCACACUGGGACUGAGACACGGCCCAGACUCCUACGGGAGGCAGCAGUGGGGAAUUUUGGACAAUGGGCGAAAGCCUGAUCCAGCCAUGCCGCGUGAGUGAAGAAGGCCUUCGGGUUGUAAAGCUCUUUUAGUCGGAAGAAAGAGUUGCAAUGAAUAAUUGUGAUUUAUGACGGUACCGACAGAAAAAGCACCGGCUAACUACGUGCCAGCAGCCGCGGUAAUACGUAGGGUGCGAGCGUUAAUCGGAAUUACUGGGCGUAAAGGGUGCGCAGGCGGUCUUGCAAGUCAGAUGUGA